GGGUGAGGGAGUUAUUUGGUGUCUACUUUCCUAUCAAUUCUGCCCCUCUGUUUCUCUAGCAACCUGACCGCGUAGAAUGAGUGGAUUUGCAGCAAGACAGUUAAAAUAGCAAAGGAUGUAGCAAUCUAACAGAGGAAAGAGAGCUGUGUAAAAAUAUUUUGCUGUCAUAUACGUAGUUUCACUCCCCAGUAUGUACAUAUACCUUGUAGAAUUGAUGAUUUAUGUGAUCAAAAAAGAGAGCUACUUCUGAUAAAUCAGGUUACAGCUUUUCCAGCCUGUGCAUUUACCUAAGAAAAGGGCAUAAAGUAAAACAUAUGCUACUUUAUAUACAGGGAAGACUUCUGGAAAGUUAGCAACAAAGCCAGCUUUAUUACUGUUGAAUAGCUUUCUUCCCAGAGGGCGGGGGGAUUAAUGGAGCCCUCCACAGAGGAGAGGUGAUGGGCAUCUGGUAACCAUCUCCAGACAUAAGCCUACUCACCAUCAUCUUCAUCUUUCAGACCAUGAGCUAGCAGGAUGAGGCCUUGCAGUUUGUUCAUGGAUGUCUCUCAGAACAAGACAGGGACAUUUAACCUACAUGAGAGGACCUGGCAGUUUUCUGGAGCACUGGAGGAUUCCACAGGAGCUGCCCCCAGAUGCCUUCUGCAUUGCCUGGACCUGGUGCUUCCAGCUGUCAGCUCUGGAGCUGAUAUAGCAGCCCUGUGUUUGAGCAGCUGCAGCCCCGGGAAAGUUGUCUUACAGAGUGAAAGGACACCCAGGCUUCUGGCAGAACUGCCAGGUGGCCUCACAGGAGCUACUGUGGGAAUGUUUGGUAACAGAAUGAGGACACAAGCAAUAGCAGAAAAGGAAAGAUCACGUCAUCUUUGGCAUUCUUGGUCCUUGCUUCUAUUCCAGGGAGACCAAAGUUUAGGACACAAUCACAGGAUGAGUUCAGAGUGUUCAUUUCAUCAAGCCAUGAUAAUUGACAGGGUUGAUAAACUAAUACCUACGUGGACAUAGGACAUCAGUUCUGGGAACAGCUGUUUGUGACUCCUGUUUUCCUGGAAGGGCUUUCACCAGAUAUGCUGCAUUUCAAGAGUGCCUUCAGGCUCUGACAGAUGUGCCUGGCCGACCUGCGGUGGCGUCCCCCUGGUGCCUGCUGGGGCAGGGGUGGGAAGGAGCUGGCAGAGGGCAAGCAGAGCAGUCUGGCCACGCAUCUCCUGCUGCCGCUCUGGCUUUUCAGGGUGGUAGGAGCAGCUAGUGGAGGGGAAGCCACGAGGCAUAUGACUGCCUCUGGUUGUUUCCCUCUCUUUUUGCUCUCCUCAGUGCCUGGAGUCAGAAACUCAAAUGGGAAUGUUUUUCUGUUUUAAGAAGUACAUGUAUGUUUGUUUUCUGUGCUCUUCUGCUGUCUGCAGCUGGGCUUCUGGCACGUAUGUAAAGAUAGCAUAAAUCUAAGAGCUGAUCACAUGUAAUGAUUAUUAUCCGGUGCCACUUCUGAGGUAUCCUGGAAGCAUAUCCCAUCACACAGUCAUCUUUUUCCUGUGCUUCAGUGUUAUUAGCAGAGAUAGCCCAUGUUAUCUAGGUUACAUGUAUCAAAACAUACCAAGUUAAAACUAGGCUUUUAAACUAGUUUUAGCAGAACCAAUUUUACAUUCCCUGUAACUGGCUUCUUUUAUACCACGUGUCUUACCACAUGUAAGCCAUGUGUCUUACUGACAGUGACACGAUGAAAUGCAUGUAACCUUUUUUUCAACAAUGUCAACAGAUAAAUGAUUAAGGUAAAUACAGCCAAGCUGUUACAUGAAGAUUUUCAUGACAACUGCAUUUCUUGUACUUUGUAUCAAUAAAAACUAGUAUUCAUAACUUAGUCUAUUAAAA
ensembl:lncRNA